rnacentral:rRNA from 1 species
AUGUCGACGUCCUUAGGUGUCUUGGUGUGGAAUGUAAGGGGAUUAAAUAACCCGGCUAGGAGGAGUUCGAUCAGACCGUUUAUGCAUUCUCUUAAUGUAUCGCUAGUUUGUUUCCAAGAAUCCAAGUUGGCUGAGGUGAAUGUGAUGCUGGUUCGCGAGACACUGGGUCCGAACUUCGAUGGAUUUGAUUUCCUGCCAGCUGAAGGCACGCGAGGGGGAGUUAUAUUGGCAUGGCAGUCAGAUAGGCUCAUGGUGUAA